UAACAUAUAAAAGCUGCUAGGGUACCCGCCAUUCUGGGGCAUUCGCGUCGCGCGGUGAACGUCGUUCGCUCGAUCCACCACUAUUGUAGCGUUUUACCGCGCUGUCAAUAAUUUAGCCGUCUGUUUUCUCGCACGUUAUUGUUUCAUGCUCCAGUGAAUGACGGGUAGGCCUUCUUUACCCACGGGCCCAGCGUGGUGGUGCGUCUCGCGCGUGGCCUGCGUGAAAAAAGAAAGGCUCUGCAGCGAGCGUGGGGUUCUCACGGUGAAACCCUAGCCACCAAUCGCUCGCGUCUUUGACCCACCAAUCGCUCCCUUCUCGAGCUCCGCUUCCCAUUCCCCAAUUCUCUCCGCCGCCACUGCGCCGCCUCGUCCUCCCCUGACCUCGGAGCCCCAGCGUAUGGUCAUCGUCGCCGCUUGUGUAGUUCUUCCCGAUGCCUCCCCAUCCUCCAUCAGCCACCGCUGUGGGCUGUGGUUCUGGGCCGGUCACAGGUCGCUGCUGAGGAGCAGAGGAGGACGGCGGGGAGGGAGAAGGAGCACAGGAGGACGGCACUGGGGGAAGGAGAAGCGAAGCCGGAGGCCGAGACGGCGCUCGCGUCAUGUGUCGGACGCUGCUCAUCGGCCCUCGUUGUCGUCCUCAAUCUAGCAUGAUGUGUGAAGAUCUGAGACAAAAAAGAAGAGGAAGAAUUUUGACGAAGAGUUGGGUCAUGGGGAACAAAGGUCAUCAGAACAUACAUAACUGUUGCCGAAGCCCUCUUGCUAAAGGUAUGUAAUACUUUAUACAGACUUUCUGAUAUGAACAAAACAAGAUGUUGCUUCAGGCCAUCUCUUUGACAAAAUUGUGUUGCCUUUCAGAGGAAAGCACAAGGAUAUAACCAACAUAAACACAAUGCUUACAAGGAGAUAUCGGCUCAUUUGAUUGCUAUAUUGGCUUUGGUCACCCUUGCGAGGCUCCUUAUCUUUGAAGCAAGGGGCGGAUGCUCUUUGGACUCAGGAAGACGAACAUGAUAGAGAAAGAAAGGGAUCAACCUUGCCAUGACCCCAUAUUUCUGUAGGCUAAUAUCCCUUAUUUGCACUAUCCUACACCGAAUACUUAUAGGGUUAUGUGCCUUUGCCAUGCAGCACAUGUCAAUGGCAGUUCAGGAAGAGAUGACAUCACAAGUGAGCUCAAUUGAUAAGCCCGCUAGCAGAAAAUGUGGUUUGAGCCUGCUCCAACCCCUCCUCUGAUGUGGUGUGGUGGGAGAAGGAAGAAGAGCAUGCAUGCUCUCUGUCUACAUCCAGCGUCCACACGGCUAGAUCGACGGGUCUAAACUAUGGGUGAGCUCCUCCACUACCUGAUAAAUUCCUUUUCUGCUCUAUCUGUUUUCCUUCCAAUUCAUGUAAAUUGAAACUUUGAAAUCAACCAGUAUCUAAUGCCUAUAAUCCAUGGAAAGAAGUGGUCUUCAAAUGUGAAACUCAAGCCGGCAAUUGGAUACCAAUUUGACUACUUAUUUAUACCUUCAAAUAUUGGUCAAAGACUAAUUAAGUCACUGUUUCUUAAUUUUUCUAUUCCUUAUUUAUACCUCCAAAUAUUAAUGGAUCACCAAAAAUAUGGAGAAUUUAUUCAUUUGCAUUUUCAUGUUUCUCCAACUAUAUGUACCAUUGCGUAGAAGAGGCAAAGUAAUAGACAUUUUAAUUCUGAUUUAUGUAGAUUAUUGUUUAAUUUGUGGGUGCCAUUCUAUCUCAGAUGUAGUACAUUGUGUGUAUGAAUCAUGGUGAAUGUCAAGCCUACUUAGGUCAUACCCAAGUAAGGUAAGUAUAGAUGUAUAGUGCUUAUAAAAUGUGGUGCUCUAAUAUAACUUUGUUCCUCAGUUAGGAAUUAUGUUUUUCUAUAGUUAAAAUGCAUGUGUGUUGCUAUGAUGUAUAUAAGUGACAGGGAACAAAAAAUAAUGGAAGAAGGCCCUUUUGUUUCUGUUUUAUAAUUACUCAUCCAUCCUGAUGCUUGAGCAUUUUCUAACCUCCCCUGUUUUAUUCUUUUGGUGCUACUUGGAUGUUUCUAAGGUCUUUUUGUUUUAUUUCAGAAUACAGAAAGAAUAAGCUACUAGCAUUGUGCAAGUAAACCUACUGCGAUUGCAACUGCAAAAAAAAAAUCAUCACAUGCUGUGAGCUUAAAUAAAAGGAGCUAAACUGUUGUGUCAUGUUCAGAAUUGAUACUAGAAAAAAUAAUCUAAACUGCACAUUCUGAAACUAUCUAGACUCCUGCCUUUGGGGAAUUAGGUUGCUAAGCAUUACUUUGUAAAUAAAUGACAUGCUAACUUGUUGGUUCAGUUUAGAGCUAUAGGCAGGGGCUUGCAGUAGGGGGGGUAUCAUUGUGGCAGUUGAAAACCAAAGCAUUUAUUCAUGAGUGUAUGAUCUGGACUUCACUUUUCUGAAAGUAUGUUACGAUCCUGCUCUUGGAAUAAAUGGCAUGCUAAAACGUUGGUUGUUGUGGUGCAUUGCAAGGUACAACCUUAGUUUUAAACAUUUUGCAUACUAACAGAUAUGUAUUGGAAUUUUAAUUUGCAUCUCUGCAGCGACUUGACAAUUCUUCGUCUUUUACGACACGGAUCCGCGGCACAGUAGGAGAGGUGACGCCGGCCGGCAGCGCCUCACCGCCAGCUAUUGUUUGGCGCCGGCAAGGAGAAGGGCGCUUAGGAUCUGCUGCGUUGUGCAUGGCUGUUGAAGUUCAGCAUCGCCAUGAUGUGUAUUGUUUCUCUAUUUUCCUCAUAUUGCCAUGUUCCCAAUUUUACAAACUGCUAUGUGAUGCACAAUGGCCACGCCACGCACUGGUGAGAUUCAAGGUGCAGUCGAGCAAGAGUCAGUUCGAGGUGAGGUGUCUCACGUCGAUCUCCUGUUGCUCACCAGCGAGGCUCGCUGACGAGCGGCCAGAUCCACACGAGGUGGAUGUCACACACACGGCCCUCUCCCCUCCAUCCUUUCUCUUUCCUACAACUAUUAUGUCUUUGUACCUUGUUAUAUUGCUCUUUCAUCCAUGGUGAUAAAGAUGUUAACUCAGUUUGAUAAUGGAGUCACAGAUUUGUAUCUGAUAAUUCUUGGAAUUCAAAUUGUAACAUCCAUACUAAUUUGUUGGUUUGUCUCAACCAAUAAUUCAAUGUAAACCUAUUAACAUGAAUUUUAUGGGUAUACAUUGUCUCCUCCUAUGCCAAUUGAUUUUCUCCAGAUUAGUUGGACCAUAAUUUUCAAGAAGGUUACAAACCUAGCAAUGAAUGAGACUAUCAUUAUGAUUGAAGAUAGCUGACUGUGACAAUUGUUUCUUUUGAAGUUUCACUGUUUAUGGAGGUGACAAUGCUAGAUAUAUACAUCUGUAUCAUGGCACUUCUCCAGCAAACAAAAGCUUGGCAGCCAUCUACUUUCAGAGAGUUUGAAAACGUACUAUCACGCUAACUCACUUAUCCAGAUUAAUGACAUGAUUUCCCUGUCCAAACAUUCAGCUGAACCGACACUAGCAAUAUUGAUCAGCUGAACUUGCAGAAGGGGAGAGGGAGCAAGAGCCAAA